UGGACCUCACACAUUUUGGAAAGUGCUCU
rnacentral:piRNA from 1 species